AACAAACCUGUCAUUGGUACCCGAACUACAUUUCAGUCACUCAGUAAAGUGAUAACUCAAAAUAUCAUUGUCAGCAGAUCUGGAGAAAUUGCCACUGCGUCUUUAGACCGUUUUCGUCAGACGAGAGACACAGUUCUGGUUGCUGUACGUAUCUAUCCACAUCAAGGCUGUUGGGAGAGACUCGUGAAGAUUCAAGAGAGC